rnacentral:tRNA from 1 species
ACUUUUAAAGGAAAGUAGUUAUCCAUGGGCCCUAGGAACCAA